ACCAGCUGACGAGUCCUGUAAAGGACGAAACGCGCGUCCUGGAU
rnacentral:hammerhead_ribozyme from 1 species